AUGGAUAAAGUGCGCAAAACAGACUCACAUUUUUCAAUUGAAAAGAUGGGUUCCUUUUUCGUCUCGACAAAGAAAGAAUCACUUGAAAAAAACGCUCCUAACCCCUUCGUAGGGCCGUGUAUAGUAAGUGAUCCGAACCUGCCCGGAGCGCCCCCCUUAGAGGCAAGUGAAGUUGGUGAGCCGUAUGAUGGGCAACUAUCUCCUGCGGUUUGGAGAGGACUCAGCUGUUAG
rnacentral:rRNA from 1 species